CCCUUAGAUGUCCUGGGCUGCACGCGCGCUACGCUGAUGUGUCCAGUAAGCACCUAACCUCUUCCGAAAGGAACGGGUAACCUUUGCAAAGCACAUCGUGAUGGGGAUAGAUUAUUGCAAUUAUUAGUCUUGAACGAGGAAUUCCUAGUAAGCACAAGUCAUCAGCUUGUGUUGAUUACGUCCCUGCCCUUUGUACACACCGCCCGUCGCUCCUACCGAUUGAAUGUUCCGGUGAGCUCUUCGGACUGCGCGGUCUGCAGUUUCUGCGUUCCGUGCGGAAAGUUGCGCAAACCUUAACAUUUAGAGGAAGGAGAAGUCGUAACA
rnacentral:rRNA from 1 species